GGGGUUGACUGGUUUUGACAGCGUGUAGAAGUGGUUUGUAAGCAUGCAGCGCCUUGUUAUUCAGCGCUUAAAUCACGGAUAACGAACAAUUAAUUGGCGAAAAUAAUUACGCUCUCGCUGCUUGAUUGAAGCAUAGUAGAUCAUAAGCUUUAUUCCAUCUCAAGGAGAUGGAACGAGACAUCACCCGGAAGCUGUGGCUUCGAAGCAAUCCGAAAAGGUGGUGCAGAUAUAUCGGAGAUAGUUUGAAACAUGCCUUGAGUUUCAGGCGAAAUUUAGAGGAUAAGCUCAAUAUUGGUAGCCUUAGUCUUGUGUUGAGUCGAAAAUAAAAAUAAGGAUAAGCAUGUAGAAAGCAAGUUAAUUCCGCGUUUGGACGAGGGUUCGAUUCCCUCCAGCUCCACAA
rnacentral:tmRNA from 1 species